GAGUUUGAUCGUGGCUCAGAGCGAACGCUGGCGGCAGGCUUAACACAUGCAAGUCGAACGAUCCUUCGGGAUAGUGGCGGACGGGUGAGUAACACGUGGGAACGUGCCUUUAGGUUCGGAAUAACUCAGGGAAACUUGAGCUAAUACCGGAUGUGCCCUUCGGGGAAGAUUUAUCGCCUUUAGAGCGGCCCGCGUCUGAUUAGCUAGUUGGUAGGGUAAUGGCCUACCAAGGCGACGAUCAGUAGCUGGUCUGAGAGGAUGAUCAGCCACAUUGGGACUGAGACACGGCCCAAACUCCUACGGGAGGCAGCGGUGGGGAAUCUUGCGCAAUGGGCGAAAGCCUGACGCAGCCAUGCCGCGUGAAUGAUGAAGGUCUUAGGAUUGUAAAAUUCUUUCACCGGGGACGAUAAUGACGGUACCCGGAGAAGAAGCCCCGGCUAACUUCGUGCCAGCAGCAGCCGC
rnacentral:rRNA from 1 species